GGUUUAAUUCGAUGAUACGCGAGGAACCUUACCCGGGUUUGAACGUAGUCUGACCGGAGUGGAAACACUCUUUCUAGCAAUAGCAGAUUACGAGGUGCUGCAUGGUUGUCGUCAGCUCGUGCCGUGAGGUGUCGGCUUAAGUGCCAUAACGAGCGCAACCCUUAUCACUAGUUACUAACAGGUGAAGCUGAGGACUCUGGUGAGACUGCCAGCGUAAGCUGUGA
rnacentral:rRNA from 1 species